rnacentral:rRNA from 1 species
CUACGUGCCAGCAGCCGCGGUAAUACGUAGGGGGCAAGCGUUAUCCGGAAUAACUGGGCGUAAAGGGUGCGCAGGUGGUUUAACAAGUUAGUGGUGAAAGGCAUAGGCUCAACCAAUGUAAGCCAUUAAAACUGUUUAACUUGAGUGCAGGAGAGGAAAGUGGGAUUCCUAGUGUAGCGGUGAAAUGCGUAGAUAUUAGGAGGAAUACCAGUGGCGAAGGSGACUUUCUGGACUGCAACUGACACUGAGGCACGAAAGCGUGGGGAGCAAACAGGAUUAGAUACCCUGGUAGUCCACGCCGUAAACGAUGAGUACUAGGUGUCGGGUGAAGAACUCGGUGCCGAAGUUAACACAUUAAGUACUCCGCCUGGGGAGUACGCUCGCAAGAGUAAAACUCAAAGGAAUUGACGGGGACCCGCACAAGCAGCGGAGCAUGUGGUUUAAUUCGAAGCAACGCGAAGAACCUUACCUAAACUUGACAUACCAAUGACAGCCUU